GGCCAAAUCCUUAAACCACUGAGAAAGGCUGGAGAUUGAACCUGCAUCCUCACGGACAAUAUGUUGGGUUCUUAACCCUCUGAGCCACAACAGGAACUCUUCUAUUUUGUUCUUGGUUUUGUUUCUUAGAUUCCAAUAUAAGUGAACCAAUACAGUUGGGGUUUUUGUUUUUUUGUUGUUUUGGAUCUGACUCCAAAGGCAUGAAAAACAAACAGAAAAAAACAAAUAGAACUACAUCAAACCAAAAAGUUUCUGCACAGCAAGGGUAACCAGCAACAAAAUGAAGACGACCCACAGAAUGGAAGAAGACAUUUGUAAAGCAUAUUAAAAAGGGGUUAAUAUCCAAAAUAUGUAAAACAUACAAUUUAAUAACAAAAAAACAAUCUGAUUAAAAAAUGGGUAAUCUCAGUAGAUAUUUUUUCCAAAGAAGACAUAAAAAUGGCCAACAGGCAGUAAAAGAUGCUCAAUAUCACCAAUCAUCAGGAAAAUGCAAAUCAAAAUCACCGUAAGAUUUUUGGAGUUCCCGUUGUGGUGCAGUGGUUAACGAAUCCGACUAGGAACCAUGAGGUUGCGGGUUCCAUCCCUGCCCUCGCUCAGUGGGUUAACGAUCCGGCGUUGCCGUGAGCUGUGGUGUAGGUUGCAGACGCGGCUCGGAUCCCGAGUUGCUGUGUCUCUGGCUUUGGCUGGAGGUUACAGCUCCGAUUCGACCCCUAGCCUGGGAACCGCCAUAUGCCACCGGAGCAGCCCAAAGAAAUAGCAAAAAGACAAAAAACAAAACAAANUAUAAAAUACAUCUAGUCUUCUAUUUCUAAUAAAUGUUAACCAUUUUAACAGGGUUUCCAGUAGCUUGAUAAAGAAUUUGCUGCUAUUUUUAAAGAGUUACAACUAGAUUUUGUAUUUAAAGUACAAAAUAAACACACACUAUAUUAAUUCAUUAUUCUACAAGGUUUGUAGAAUAACAAUGACACUACCUAUAUAGCAUAAGAAUUAAAAUCACUUUUGCAUGGUAGAUAAAUUUCAAAAAAAUGGGUUUAAUUACAUUUUAUGAGCGAUUUGCAAAUAACAUGGUAAUAUAUCAGAUUUCUACUAAAGCUCUUUGAUUUCUUAGCCACUGCCUUAAGACUAGAAAAUGUUUAUAACCAGAAAUCUAGAUUAGUCAUGCAGUUUAGAUAAUCUAGAUAUUGCAUAGAGAAAACCAAAUAAAAUUCCAUACUCAAAAGCCACAAAUUGUUAACACACCAAAUAAAGAAUAACUUUUAGUGAAUCUUUGACAGAAGUUCUACCUGUACAUAGAUACCAUGGAAGAAAGGAAGAAAUUGUUUAAGAAUAAAGCGUAGAGACACAGCAGCCCCACCCCCAACUAUCCGCAGAAAUUCCUUCCAAGCUGAUAGGAGAUGCCCAAAACUGAAAACGCGAAUUUACCCAACCCUCCAUAUACUAUGUUUUUUACUGUACAGACAUACCUGUGAGAAAUUUUAACUUAUAAAUUAGGCACAGUAAGAAAGUGACAACAAUAAUUAAUCAUCGAAUAGAACAAUUAGAACAAUACACUGUAAUAAAAGUUAUGUGAAUGUGGCCUCUCAAACUCUCUUAUUAAACGUUAAUGCCCUUUCCAUCUUCACUUACCACUUACUGCGCUCUGUAGCUGCAAAUUCUUCAGAUUGAGGUGCAACAGAAAAAUCAGCACAAAUUUUUGCCCUUCGUCACAAUUUCACAGAUUCAGCCUCACGGUAGAUCUUAGCAACCUCAGUGAAAGUUUUGUCCUCUCCUCGUUAAGCUAAGAGCUUUCACCUUUCACUUAAAAGAAGCAUUUCUUGGCUUCUCUUGGCGAGUUCAAAUUGCUGGGAUCCCUACUUUCUGGCUUUUGGGGCCGUAAAACAAUGUUUCCCUGCACAAAAGCACUGAAGCGGCUACAGGUGACUAACAGUUGGGAUACUCAGAGUGAUUCACGUCCUGGUCAGGACCACGCGAGAUUUGAUCACUAUUCUGAACGGCAAUUUAAAACUCAUGCAUUGGUUAUUUCUGGAAUUUUCCACUUGAUGUUUUCAGAUCCUUGUUGAUCAUGGGUAAUUGGAAUUGAAGGUAAGGAGGCAUACUGUAAUAAGAUGAUUUAUUAACCAAAUGUUAGCAGCAUUGUGGACUUCUUACUGUGCUAAGCUAUUGCUUCAAGUAUGUCCCAAAUUUACCAGUGAAGUUACUACACUGUGAACCAUAUGUGGCAUAAGGUAGUAAGUGGCUGUGGAAGAGCAGAUCUUGUAAUCUACAUAUAAAAUUUAACAAACCUUUCUUUAAAGGCAAACAAGCAAUUUGACUUCAUAUUUUACAGUUUUAGAACUAAAAUCCCAUUCUAUAAGAUGGCACUUCCUUGAUUUUACUUUACCCAUCUAGAUGAGCAAACUUCCUGCUUUAUAAGAAAACUGUUCUGGGUAACUAGUCCUAUAUACACCAGUGGCCUUAACCUACGCUCCUAAGAAUGUAGGUACAUCAGAGUGUAUGGGUGGGUGCAAGCAGCAGUGAGGCAUAACUGUUUUCAAAAGAACAAGGCCUGGUUCUUUGCUUCUUUUUUUUUCUUUCUUUUUUUUAUGAAAUUCGUUUUCUGUGCUAAUCUGCUGCUGGGUUUGUGCAUGAGAGCCUUAUUAGUGUUAGAAAAAGCAGUCCACCUCUGCAUAAUAUAGUUUUCCUUUAAGCAGCAUAACUUUGAGUGCAGUCACAGCCUUUCAAAUGGAC
rnacentral:lncRNA from 1 species